rnacentral:rRNA from 1 species
GAAACUCGUGCUAAUACCGCAUACGCCCUACGGGGGAAAGUGGAGGAUCUUCGGACUUCACACUAUUGGAUGAGCCUAAGUCGGAUUAGCUUGUUGGUGGGGUAAUGGCCUACCAAGGCGACGAUCCGUAGCUGGUCUGAGAGGACGAUCAGCCACACUGGGACUGAGACACGGCCCAGACUCCUACGGGAGGCAGCAGUGGGGAAUAUUGGACAAUGGGGGCAACCCUGAUCCAGCAAUACCGCGUGUGUGAAGAAGGCCUGCGGGUUGUAAAGCACUUUCAGUAGAGAAGAAAAGCCUGGAAUUAAUACUUCCGGGUCUUGACGUAACCUACAGAAGAAGCACCGGCUAACUCCGUGCCAGCAGCCGCGGUAAUACGGGGGGUGCAAGCGUUAAUCGGAAUUACUGGGCGUAAAGCGCGCGUAGGCGGUCUGGUCAGUCGGAUGUGAAAGCCCUAGGCUCAACCUGGGAAUUGCAUUCGAUACUGCCCAAACUAGAAUGUUGGAGAGGGAAGUGGAAUUUCCGGUGUAGCGGUGAAUGCGUAGAGAUCGGAAGGAACACCAGUGGCGAAGGCGGCUUCCUGGCC